rnacentral:rRNA from 1 species
GGGCCGCACAAGCGGUGGAGCAUGUGGUUAAUUCGAAGACAACGACGAAGAACCUUACCAGGUCUUGACAUCCCGAUGCUAUUCUAGAGAUAGAAAGUUACUUCGGUACAUCGGUGACAGGUGGUGCAUGGUUGUCGUCAGCUCGUGUCGUGAGAUGUUGGGUUAAGUCCCGCAACGAGCGCAACCCCUAUUGUUAGUUGCCAUCAUUCAGUUGGGCACUCUAGCGAGACUGCCGGUAAUAAACCGGAGGAAGGUGGGGAUGACGUCAAAUCAUCAUGCCCCUUAUGACCUGGGCUACACACGUGCUACAAUGGUUGGUACAACGAGUUGCGAGUCGGUGACGGCGAGCUAAUCUCUUAAAGCCAAUCUCAGUUCGGAUUGUAGGCUGCAACUCGCCUACAUGAAGUCGGAAUCGCUAGUAAUCGCGGAUCAGCACGCCGCGGUGAAUACGUUCCCGGGCCUU